CCCUUAGAUGUUCUGGGCCGCACGCGCGCUACACUGAUGCAUUCAACGAGUAGUUCACCUUGGCCGAGAGGCCUGGGCAAUCUUUUGAAUGUGCAUCGUGAUAGGGAUAGAUUAUUGCAAUUAUUAAUCUUGAACGAGGAAUUCCAAGUAAACGCAGAUCAUCAAUCUGCAUUGAUUACGUCCCUGCCCUUUGUACACACCGCCCGUCGCUACUACCGAUUGAAUGAUUUAGUGAGGACUUCGGACUGGGACCGAUGCGGCUUUCGGGCUGCGUCGGUAUUCUGGAAAGAUGUCCAAACUGUAUCAUUUAGAGGAAGUAAAAGUCGUANCA
rnacentral:rRNA from 1 species